rnacentral:rRNA from 1 species
GAUGAACGCUGGCGGCGUGCCUAAUACAUGCAAGUCGAGCGAACGGACGAGGAGCUUGCUCCUUUGACGUUAGCGGCGGACGGGUGAGUAACACGUGGAUAACCUACCUAUAAGACUGGGAUAACUUCGGGAAACCGGAGCUAAUACCGGAUAAUAUAUUGAACCGCAUGGUUCAAUAGUGAAAGACGGUUUUGCUGUCACUUAUAGAUGGAUCCGCGCCGCAUUAGCUAGUUGGUAAGGUAACGGCUUACCAAGGCAACGAUGCGUAGCCGACCGGAGAGGGUGAUCGGCCACACUGGAACUGAGACACGGUCCAGACUCCUACGGGAGGCAGCAGUAGGGAAUCUUCCGCAAUGGGCGAAAGCCUGACGGAGCAACGCCGCGUGAGUGAUGAAGGUCUUCGGAUCGUAAAACUCUGUUAUUAGGGAAGAACAAAUGUGUAAGUAACUAUGCACGUCUUGACGGUACCUAAUCAGAAAGCCACGGCUAACUACGUG